rnacentral:rRNA from 1 species
AUACGGAGGGUGCAAGCGUUACUCGGAAUCACUGGGCGUAAAGGACGCGUAGGCGGGUUUGUAAGUCAGGUGUGAAAUCCUACAGCUCAACUGUAGAACUGCACUUGAAACUACAGACCUAGAGUAUGGAAGGGGCAGAUGGAAUUAGUGGUGUAGGGGUAAAAUCCGUAGAUAUCACUAGGAAUACCGAAAGCGAAGGCGAUCUGCUGGGACAUUACUGACGCUGAGGCGUGAAAGCGUGGGGAGCAAACAGGAUUAGAAACCCGGGUAGUCC